GGGCCGGUAGCUCAGCUUGGUAGAGCGCUUGACUUUUAAUCAAGCGGUCGCGGGUUCAAAUCCCGUCCGGCCCG
rnacentral:tRNA from 1 species